CAGCCGCCGCGGUAAUACGGAGGGGGCUAGCGUUGUUCGGAAUUACUGGGCGUAAAGCGUGCGCAGGCGGUUGUGCAAGACAGAUGUGAAAUCCCCGAGCUUAACUUGGGAACUGCAUUUGUGACUGCACGGCUAGAGUGUGUCAGAGGGGGGUAGAAUUCCACGUGUAGCAGUGAAAUGCGUAGAUAUGUGGAGGAAUACCGAUGGCGAAGGCAGCCCCCUGGGAUAACACUGACGCUCAUGCACGAAAGCGUGGGGAGCAAACAGGAUUAGAUACCCCUGUAGUCCCUGUCUCUUAUAC
rnacentral:rRNA from 1 species